ACAAAGGAAGAAGGUGGUAUUCCAGC
rnacentral:piRNA from 1 species